rnacentral:rRNA from 1 species
UACGAAGGGGGCUAGCGUUGCUCGGAAUCACUGGGCGUAAAGCGCACGUAGGCGGAUUGUUAAGUCAGGGGUGAAAUCCUGGAGCUCAACUCCAGAACUGCCUUUGAUACUGGCGAUCUUGAGUCCGGGAGAGGUGAGUGGAACUGCGGGUGUAGAGGUGAAAUUCGUAGAUAUUCGCAAGAACACCAGUGGCGAAGGCGGCUCACUGGCCCGGUACUGACGCUGAGGUGCGAAAGCGUGGGGAGCAAACAGG